rnacentral:lncRNA from 1 species
AUAAUAAUAGUAAUAAUAAUAAUAAUCAUAAUGAUAAAAUCAGUAAUAUUAAUAAUAUUACUAAAAUAAGUAUUAAUAAAAUAAAUAUUAUUAGUAAUAAUUCCAGAAAAUAUAAUUUCAUUAAUUGUAAUACAAUAACGUUAGUUAUAAGAUUAAUGAUAUAUAAUGUAAAACAAUUUAGGUAUCAAAGACUAUGCUGAUAAAAAAAAAAAAUAAUUAAAAGUAUAUUCAACUCUCGUUACGCAUGUAUACAUACACACAUGCAUAUAUGUACAUACGUAUGUCUUAUAUGCACAUGUUGUUGUUAUUAUUUAUCUUAUUUUAACUUCAACCAACUAUCAUAGUUUUCAUAGUAAAUGAUACUUAAGUAAUGCAAAUAAAAUAAACAAAUUAACUAACGUUAAAAAAAAAAAAAAAAAAAAAAUCAUUAUUUUUUUACUAUAAAAUGGACAGUCUUUUAUCAAACAGUUCAAAUGGAAAAACAAACAUAAAUAAUAAAAACAGUAAUAUAGGAAAAACAAAUUCUAAUGAAUGUGGAGUGAAGCAGAACUUACGUGUUGCUUCUUCUCCUGUCGAAGAAGAGGAAGAAGAAGAAGAUGAAGAAAAAAAAAAAAAAAAGAAAAAAAAAAAAAAAAAAAGAGAAAGCAAUUAAUGAAAAAAGAAAAAAGGAAGAGAAAGAAAAAAUUAAAAACCAAAUAGAUAAAGUGGUUGAAAAUGAUUUAGAGGUAAUGUCGAUCGAACAGUCGUUGAUAGACGAAACGGAAACAAACACACCAUCAGUUAUAAUAAAUAAAAAAAAGAAAAAAAAAAAGAAAAAAAAAGAAGAGGAAGAAGAAGUAAAAACAAAGGAAGUAAAAGUAGAUGAUGUAAAAGUAGAUGAUGUAAAAGUAGACGAUGUAAAAGUAGACGAUGUAAAAACAGAGGAAGUAAAAACAGAGGAAGUAAAAACAGAGGAAUUAAUGGUAAAAGACCAAUUGGAUGAGUUAGAAAAAGGAAAAGAAAAAAAAAGUAAAAAAAAAAAAAAUAAGGAAAAAAAAAGUAAGGAAAGAAAAAUAGAAGAUGAAAAAAUGAAGGAAAAGCAAGCAUCGGAAGAGCACAUGCUAAAAGAACAUAUAUCAGAAGAACAAAUAAUAACAGAACAAGCACCAAAAGAACGAACGGUUAGAGGAAAAAUAAAUAAGGAAAAAAAGAGUAAAGAAAAAAAAAAUAAGAACAACACAGAAAGUUCAAACGAACAAACUGCGGUCACAGAUAUAGCAUUAAACAAAAAACAAUUAGUAAGCGCUUCUAUAGAAAAAGAGACAAAAGGUAUAACACAAAUAAUAACGACAUAUAUAGAAAAAAAAGAAGAAGAAAAAGGAGAAAAAGAAAAAGAGGAAGAAAAAGAAGAAGAAGGAAAGGAAGAGGAAGAAAAAGAAGAAGAAAAAGAAGAAGAAAAAGAAGAAGAAAAAGAAGAAAAAGAAAAAGAGGAAGAAAAAGAAGAAGAAGGAGAAGAAGAGGAAGAAAAAGAAGGAGAUAAUAAUAAUGAAGUAAACAAUGAAAUAGAAAAAACAUGUAAAGAUGUUCAAUAUAUUAACGAAGAAAUUAACAUGUCGGAUGAAUCAGAUCGGAUAAACGUUAACCAUUCAGAAACGCAUAAAAGCAAUAUAUGCAUUGUCAACUCGCUGCAAGAUAUAUCGAGUAUUUCAUCGUUUAGUAGAUCAAGUAGCAAAGACAGUAAGAUAUGUAACAAAUUUAAGUACAAUGAUAAAUCACAAGUUUUUGAUUUAACAUGUCAUAUUGAAAAUAAUAUUAAUAAUUACAAAAAAGUUUUAAACGAAGUGAACUUAGAAAUAUAUGAAAGGGAAUGUAUUAAUGAUAUUAUAUUAUUUCAUAAUAAAAAAUUAAAAUAUUUGCAAACAAAAAAAAACAAAUUAAUAGAAAAUGAAAAUUUGUCAGAUUCUGAUUCUAACGAGGAAUAUAGUUACACUUUAAAUAGCAGCACAUCAGAAGAAAACAAAGAAGAAAUUAUAAAAAAUUUUGAACAGUAUAACUUGGAUGUGAUAAACAACUCAUAUGGCGAUAAUGAUAAUGAUAAUGAUAAUAAUGAUGAUGUUUGUGAAACUGAGUUUUUAAAAAAAGAAAAAAAAAAAGAAAAAAAAAAAGAAGAAAAACAAGAAGAAACCAAAAUAACUGCAAAAUUAAAAAAAAUGGAAGGAGGAGGACUUAACAAAAUAACAGAAGAAUGUAAAAAAGGAACAGAACGACAAAAAAAAACAAAAGAUGCGUUAAAAAAAAUAACAGAUAAAUCUAAUAAAAUAGCAGAGGUAUCUAAAAAAAUAACAGAAGGACAAGAACAAAAAGGAGAAGUAGAUUCUUUAAAAGGUAGCAUAAAACAGAUUUAUAACAAAAUGUCGAAUAACAAUGAAAAAAACAUAGAAAAGUGUAAAAAUUCUAUACAGGAUGAUAACAUAAUUUUAUAUAAUAUUAAAACGGGUAAAAACGAAGAUAAAAAAGGUGUAGUUAAACAAGCGAAACAACAACAACAACAACAACAACAACAACAACAACAACAACAACAANNNNNNNNNNACAACAACAACAACAACAACAACAACAACAACAACAACAACAACAACUACAACUACAAACGGAAACAGAAACAGAAACAAGCGACAUAAGUGAUGAAGAAGAUGAAUACGAAAAAAAGACGUUUAGUGAUGAGCACAAAAAGAGUAUAAGUAAUGAUGAAUACGAAAAAGGAGGAACUAGGGAAAAGGACAAGCAAAAAGAUGAUACUAUUUUAGAUCAAAUAAAUUUCAACAAAGAAAAAAAUGCUUACA